rnacentral:tRNA from 1 species
CAUUAAGAAGCUAUGAAACAGCACUAGCCUUUUAAGCUAGAGAAAGGGGGACAUGCCCCCCCCUUAAUGA